GAAGGUGGCAAGCGUUGUUCGGUAUCACUGGGCUUAAAGCGUGUGUAGGCGGAAAAGCAAGCGUUCUGUGAAAGCCCCCGGGCUUAACCGGGGGAACUGCGCAACGAACUGCUUUUCUUGAGGCAAGUACGGGGUGCAUGGAACUCUUGGUGGAGCGGUGGAAUGCGUAGAUAUCAAGAGGAACGCCAGUGGAGAAAUCGGUGCACUGGGCUUGUCCUGACGCUGAGACACGAAAGCGUGGGGAGCGAACGGGAUUAGAUACCCCGGUAGUCCACGCCGUAAACGAUGCCUACUAGGUUGUGGGAGUUCUGACACUCGCACAGCCGAAGCAAAAGUGCUAAGUAGGCCGCCUGGGGAGUACGGUCGCAAAGGCUAA
rnacentral:rRNA from 1 species